rfam:Danio rerio chromosome 21, GRCz11 reference primary assembly.
UAAUUGGCCAUUUUUAAGGCCACAAAUUUAAAAAGUAAAUAAUCUU